GCAUCUUGCGCAAUGGGCGAAAGCCUGACGCAGCCAUGCCGCGUGAAUGAUGAAGGUCUUAGGAUUGUAAAAUUCUUUCACCGGGGACGAUUAUGACGGUACCCGGAGUUGAAGCCACAGCUAACUUCGUGCCAGCAGCCGCGGUAAUACGAAGGGGGCUAGCGUUGCUCGGAAUUACUGGGCGUAAAGGGCGCGUAGGCGGAUCGUUAAGUCAGAGGUGAAAUCCCAGGGCUCAACCCUGGAACUGCCUUUGAUACUGGCGAUCUUGAGUAUGAGAGAGGUAUGUGGAACUCCGAGUGUAGAGGUGAAAUUCGUAUAUAUUCGGAAGAACACCAGUGGCGAAGGCGACAUACUGGCUCAUUACUGACGCUGAGGCGCGAAAGCGUGGGGAGCAAACA
rnacentral:rRNA from 1 species